ensembl:lncRNA
AAACCACAUAGGUGAUUGUAUAACAUUACACUUGGGACACCCUGGGUUAGGGUUAGUCAUGAUGUUGGGUUAGGGUUAGUCAUGAUAUUGGGUUAGGGUUAGUCAUGAUGUUGGGUUAGGGUUUCCCAGUCAAUGUCAUGAUAUCGGGUUAGGUUUAGGGUUAGUCAUGAUAUUGGGUUAGGGUUAGGCUUAGUCAUGAUAUUGGGUUAGGGUUAGUCAUGAUAUUGGGUUAGGGUUAGUCAUGAUAUUGGGUUAGGGUUAGUCAUGAUAUUGGGUUAGGGUUCCCCAUUCAUUAUGAUGAUAUUAGGUUAGGGCUGGUCUUGAUAUUGAAUGAGAAAGAUAAAAAAAUAAACUACUACCCUUAUUAGUAACUCAGUGUUACUAUUAUGAAACCAUUAUGAUUCUGUCCUAGAAGCCCCAUGGAGUCUCAUUAUAGACAUAAAACGAUUACACACAGUAAUGAUUUAAACACAUAAACACAGGAACAUAUUCAUUGAAAGACAGUUAGGCAACACCAUUCAUGAUUGCCAUGUCUCUGUCGAUUAGCAAGCACGGUAAACAGAAAAGCUGCACUUGUCACGAGUCAGCCCUUUCAUUCAAACCGAACAAAACUAAUGGUUCUGUCUUUUCUCCCUUCGUGUCAUUUUUGUACAUCGGUUGCCCAACGUUUACUUCUACUUCUAGUUUAUCCUCCAUUUUGAAGGCAUUUUGGAAAAUCAAAUGCUCAAGACCGUAAUCCACCUUGUUCGUGUUUAUUAAACCCUAUAUUGUAUUUCACAUCAGUCCCAGCCCAUGAUAUGUUAUGGAUGUAGUCACAAUGCAGGCUUGAAUGAAUUAGCCCCAGUACAUAUUAACACCAGGGGGCAUUUCACUAGGCUGUGUGUUUCUACAGUCUGGCCUAGAAAGAAAUUAGCCCUAGCCUUUACCUCCUCCCAUUCUGUUUGUUUGUACUUACCACCAUUAGUUGUACUGUUGUUUUUGGUCUCUAAAUAUAUUCACUUUAAGUCAUUUGUUAACACCAAGCCAUGCUAUCCCAUUUAGACCAGCCAGAUCUCGUGACAAUGGCUCAAUUAAUAGAAGCAGUUAGCCUUUUUAGCGUUCUUCUUUUCUACAACUUCCUAUAUGAAGUCUGGUUGUUUUUAAAAAUGAAAAAAAAAAGUUCAUACGUACUAUAAAACCACCAAUAUAGCAUGUGGAAAUGUGCACCGACCACCGGGUUUCCUUUGUGUAUCUUAUGUUUCAAACACGCUCCUUUGUUGAGAUCCUUUUGGUUUUCCAUCCUCAAAUUCCCCCCUUUUCCUUCCAAGAAUAAUUUCUCUCAUACAUUUUGCGUUAAAAGUGCUAAAUAGCUUGAGGUGUUAAGGUAAGCUUGAGCUUGAGGUGUUAAGGUAAACCAAAAGUUUAGCAAAAAUUGUAUUUAUUUAUUUUUUCUAUGCUCCCAUCUAAAAAUUACAAUUAUACAUUGUAUACACUGAAAGAAAAAAAAAAAAACAACAAAAAAAACCCCCACGGCUUUAUUCUAAUCAUUCUUCAGGCUCCAGGUAUCCACGCAUCUCGUUAUUUUAUGUGGGAGGACUUUCAAACUAAUAUUGCAGCUCAAAUGACUAGUUUGAAAGGCAUCUACAUGUUGCUGAAGUGUGUGGGCUUUUCUUUAACCUAUCUAAAGGCACCUACAUACUUUUCUGAGCUAUUACUCAUUAGUCAAGAUCUGGAGACUCAAAAAGAACAAAAAGAGAUGAGCAGUGAAAGAGCUACGCUGUAUGUGGCAGCAGGUUAGCAGACUUCUAAAUGUGAGUCAGCUUUCAGUUUGCUCAGCGUUUACAGCUACCAUUUCCACCCCUUACACUAUGAGAGAAAAAAAAACAACAAAAAACGUUAAAUCUAGCACUGUGAAGGGUUCCUCGGUUUGUGCUCAUGACGAGACGUAAAGAUUGCAUGCAGGUCCUUAUAAUAACGGAAGCUAUGCAGUAAUUUUCGCAUUCACAAAUCAUUCCAGGUAGAAUCCCUUUAGGUAAAUGGUAUGAAUAACCAUCCAAAGAACCCUUGAGGAGCCUUUUUUGGGGGGGGAGGGGGGCAGCUUUACUCAGACAUCCUCAAAAUGAGCAGUCAUUGGUUCAGAACAGUUGAUCCAAACCAUCCAGUGGAGCCCUUACACAUUAACAAAAAACAUGCAAAUAAAGGUUCAAUCUAAGACCUUCUUUUGUUUGUCCCUCUGAGGGAAUCUAUAAAAGGUUCUAUGUUGAGCCUUACAACCAUCUUUCCCUCUCAGAGAACAUUCCAAGGAGAACCUCUGUCCAUUCUAAGCGUUUCAUCUGCCAAUAGUCUGAGCUAAUUCUGUUGGUUAUUGCACUUUGGGGGAAAAAGUUUUUCCUUCUGGGCCAAGCCUUAAAAGUUCUAUGCAGAGCACUACACAGACAGUUCCAAUUUAGAAAAGGACAUCUUAACAUCUUAAGGAAGCUAUAGAAUGUAACUAGAUCCCAAUUAAAAGCCUGAGAGAGAGGGAGAGAGAGAGAGAGAGAGAGAGAGAGAGAGAGAGAGAGAGAGAGAGAUGAGUACAUGAAGGAUUGGUUGAUGGCUGGAAGUGCAGUAGAUAUAGUACAAUUAGGAAGCAUUGGGGAUGCUUAAACAUACAAAGGCUGCUUGAGAACUGCUUAUUCUAACAGAGGACAGUUCCUUUCAGAAAGCAUUAACCAUCCCAAGAACCCUUAAAGAAUUUUUUUCAAAGAGUGUAUAUUACAUAUAUUAAAGCUUAUGCAGUGUAUUUAUAUAUUGUAGCCUGUUCUUCCACAGAAACAGCUAAGUACUGACUGAACUCAAAUGUGAUCUUACACUUGCAAAUUCCUACCAAUUUUGCAUGACUCGAGUGACAUGAAAAGCUACAAAAGUGUACGCUGAAAGACAUGGGUAGCGUAGGUACCUUGAGUUAUGACCUCACUAAUAACCAAAAAUAUCCUCCUCGAUUGUGUGAAUUUGUAUAAACGUCCUCAUGUCCGAGUUGAUAUCUAAGGAAUAACCUCUAGCUGUUUGUUAAAGAGUCUUAACAUGGCCAAGAUCCACCUAAUUCCUUGACUGAAUUCCAAAUGAUCAACCACAUUCACUUACCACUCACUGUUUUUAAUGAGUCUUUAUUGAUCACAUAUACAUAUCAACAGUGAAAUUCUUUUCUUCACAUACCCCAGUAUGUCAGAAAGUUGGGGUCAGAGUGCAGGGUCAGCCAUGAUACAGCACCCCUGGAGUAGACAGGGCUAAGGGCCUUGCUGAAGGGCCAAUAGUGGCAGCUUGGCAGUGCUGGGAAUUGAACCCCCGACCUUCUAAUCAAUAACCCAGAGUUUUAACUGCCAAGCUACCACUGCCCCUGAGGAAAUUCUAAAAACAAAAACAUUUUCCCAAUAUCUCUCCCAUUAUGUUCCAAAGUUUAUUAUCCGGUUGGAAACCGAUGGAUGGAAGUUUGUAUAUCCAUAAAUCUAGAGAGAUAAUCAAAUUACAGCAGCCAAAAUCCUGGAGCUUGUUGCCAGAAAAGUGUACAAAAGAUAUCAGAUGCUCUGUGAGGUGUAGGCAGGAUGUCUGGGGAUGAGACUGUAUUUACCUCUGUUUUUACUGUUUAUUUCUGUGACAAUUAUAAUAAUAAUAAUAAUCAUAAUCAUAAUAAUUACCAUAUGACACAAAAGCUGAUCGAUAUCUUAUAAGCUAUACAUAAUUUCUACUAUGUGUUACUUUUAUAACAGAUUCCACAUUAAGGGUGAGUCAAAAUAACCAAGCUUUUGCUUACUAUACA